UACAGAGGUCUCAAGCGUUGUUCGGAUUCAUUGGGCGUAAAGGGUGCGUAGGUGGCGCCAUAAGUCAGGUGUGAAAUCUCGGGGCUCAACCCCGAAACUGCAUUUGAUACUGUGGUGCUCGAGUACUGGAGAGGAGAUUGGAAUUUACGGUGUAGCAGUGAAAUGCGUAGAUAUCGUAAGGAAGACCAGUGGCGAAGGCGAAUCUCUGGACAGUUACUGACACUGAGGCACGAAGGCCAGGGAGCAAACGGG
rnacentral:rRNA from 1 species